ensembl:lncRNA
AUGCAGUGGCAGUUGAAGGGCUUCUCAGUUCUGACCUCGGGACACACAUGGACCCUUCCUUCGGGACUGCCUGUGCCAUAUCCACUGGCUUGGUCAUCUGGGUUCAUGGUUCACACCCACCUUUCCAGGCUGCGGUUCCCUCCUGUUCCAACAGAUCCAACAGAAGGACCCCGUAGUGGAGGAGUGAGGGUGUACCUGGACACCAGCGCAAGAUGGGAGAGGCCCUUGAUUUCCCUGACACCAGUUUGGAGCAGAGGGCCUGGCAGGAAAGUUUUGUUUUCGCGCAGGGCCACAGAGCAAGACAUCCUACACAGCCUAAGGAUUGGCUGAAGAUGUACCCCUGAGAGCCUUUUCCUUUAAGUGCGGUCAUGUGCACCAAAAGGAACUGAAGGACUUCCAAAAAGAUGCUCUCGCUACAUUGCAUCUCUGCCACAGUCUUCCCGUCUCUCUCUCUCUCUAGAACAGCUGCUUGGAAGGAGCAAGCUGCCCACAGUAUGUUCAGUCACAUGGAGAGACACUUCUCUGUAUUGGAGCCAACAUUUACGGAGAAAGAAGAGCUCAGCCUGGGUCAUGUUCCCACUGGAUCACUGCACUAGCAUGGUACUUUGGGCUCUAGUUAUGUGGGUGGAGCAGGGAUGGGCACAGUGGGAUUGCUUCAGAAUUCUACUGCAAGACUAAAACAUAGAUAGUUCAAGGAAAUAUUGAGGGAUUUAUGUAAAGUAAACUAGGUUUAGUUAAAAUUGACUUAUUUUGGACACAUGAAUCUGUUUAGUUUCUAAGAAAAGAUGAUGAGAAUGUAGGAUUAUCUUUGUCACAUUCAGAGUAAUAAGAAAGAUACUAACACUAACUUUAAGAAUUUGGAACCAGUUUUCACUAAAAUAUUCUUAUAUUUGAAAUGCCUAAAAAGUUGUUUUGUAACUUUUUAUUUUGAAAUAAUUAUAGGUUACCAGGAAGUUGCAAAAAUGGGAAAGAGGGGUUGUGUGCACCUGUUACCCAGUUUUUCCCGAUGGAUACAUUUGAUAUGGUUUGGAUGUUUGUCCUUUCCAAAUCUCAUGUUGAAAUGUGACUCCCAAUGUUGGAGGUGGGGCAUAAUGGGAGGUGACUGAAUCAUGGGAGUCAAUCUCUUGUGAAUGGCUUAGCACUAUCCCCUUGGUGAUAAGUGAGUUCUUGCUCAAGUAGUUCAUGUGAGAUCCGGUUGUUUAAAAGAGUCCAGAAUCUCCCCCUUCUCUCUCUCUUGCUCCAUUUUGCCUUGUGUCACUGGCUCCUCAUCACCUUCUGGUAUGAUUGUGAAUUUCCUGAGGCAUCACUAAAGAGCACAUGUUGGCACCAUGCUUUACAUCCUGCAGAGCCAUGAGUCAAAAUAAAGUUUUUUUUCCUUAUAAAUUGCCCAGCCUCUGGUAUGCCUUUAGAGCAGUGGUCCCCAUCCUUUUUGAAACCAGGGAUUGGUUUCAUGGAAAACAAGUUUUCCAUGGACUUAGGGUUGGGGGACAUUAGAUUUUCAUAAGGAACAUGUGACCUCAAUCCCUCGCCUGUGCAGUUAACAAUACGGUUUUUGCUCCUUAGAGAAUCUAAUGCUGCCCCUGAUCUGACAGGAGGUGGAACUCAAUCAGUAAUGCUCACUUACCUGCUGUUCACCUCCUGCUGUGCAGCCUGAUUCCUAAUAGGCCAUGGACCAGUACUGGGCUGGAGACCCCUGCUUUAGAGCAACACACAUGGACUAACACAGAGAACAGGUACUGAUAAUUGGGGCAUUGCUAUAAAGAUACCUGAAGGUGCAGAAGCAGCUUUGGAACUGAGUAACAGGCAGAGACUGGAAGAGUUUGGAGGACUCAGAAGAAGACAGGAAGAGGAGUGAAAAUUUGGAAGUUCUUGAAGACUGGUUAAAUGGUUGUGACCAAAAUCAUAGAAAUAUGGACAGUGAAGGCCAGACUGAUGAGGUCUCAGAUGGAAAUGAGGAAGUUAUUGGAAACUAGAGUAAAACUCACCUAUUUUAUGCCCUAGCAAAGAACUUGGCUGCAUUGUGUCCAAGCCCUAGGGAUCUGUGGAAGCUUGAAGUUAAGAGUAAUGACCUAGAGUAUCUGGUGGAAGAAAUUUCUAAGCAGCAAAACAUUCGAGAUGUGGUGUGGUUGCUUCUAACUGCCUAAAACCAGACAUGGGAGCAAAGAAGUUAAUGUAAAACUUUGAAUGUAAAAAUUUGAAAAAUUUGCAGCCUGGCCCUGUGGUAGAGAAAGUUUCCAAGCAGGCUCAUUAAAAGGGAGCCAAGUGCUAAUAUCCAAGACAAUAGAAAAAAGGCCUUGAAGGCAUUUCAGAAGACUUCAGGACCUCCCCUCCUAUCACAGGCCUAGAGGCCUAGAAGGAAAGAAUGGU